GGUUCGGUAGUUCAGUUGGUGGAAUGCCUGCUUAACACGCAGAAGGUCGUCGGUUUAAGUCCGGCCCGGAUCA
rfam:Sphaerobolus stellatus SS14 unplaced genomic scaffold SPHSTscaffold_128, whole genome shotgun sequence.